CUCUUUCCUCCAAACAUUGUGCAUGGUUUAACAUUGGACUACAAAUCAUUUGUUGUUUUUUCAAAUCUAUAUGAAGAUGUACAAAAACACAACAGAUUCCACCACAUCUUUGUUUGUUUAUUUACAUGGAACAAAGCCAAAAUUGAAAAGUUCUGAAAUCUUUUUGUAUUGGUUUCAUUUUAAAAUUGAUUCUGGAAUUUUUCAUCUGAAAGCAUAGCUGGUUUCCAGGCAGAUGAUGCUGCACUGUUUAAAACCAUUCUGGUUCGGUGGCUUGUGAGACGACAUUUUCAAUCUGCAGAGGAAAGUUCAUCAUCUACAAAGAAACAAGGUGAUUCCUGGAUAGAGAAGCAGAUCAGAGUGUGACCAACAGCAAAAUGUCGUCACUGGAAGAGACCCAGACCUGCAAAAAUGAGGAGAAGGCUGAGAAUGAAUUGAGUGUCAGGCCUGUGGAUCGACCUACCAAGAAGGCAAAGAAGCAGCACUUCUCUGACCAGUGUGACAAGAUCAAUGUUGAGAUAUCACCAGUGGAUCCACACGGGAGAAAAGCCUUUUCCCGGUGACCAGUGUGGGAAAUGUUUUAGUCAGUUAGGGAAUCUGAAAGAUCACCUGUGGAUCCACACUAGGGAGCAGCAUUAACGUGUGUGACCAGCACAAAGAGUUCUGUGUUCAUUGUAACCUUGAUGUCACCAAUGGGCUCAAAACAUUGUUUAAAUAAUAUAUUUAUGCAUUC